rnacentral:rRNA from 1 species
CAAUAGCGUAUAUUUAAGUUGUUGCAGUUAAAAAGCUCGUAGUUGGAUUUCGGAUGGGACUUGCCGGUCCGUCGUUUCGAUGUGCACUGGCCAGUCCUAUCUUGUUGUCGGGGACUAGCUCCUGGGCUUCACUGUCCGGGACUAGGAGCUGACGAGGUUACUUUGAGUAAAUUAGAGUGUUCAAAGCAAGCCUACGCUCUGAAUACAUUAGCAUGGAAUAACACGAUAGGACUCUGGCUUAUCUUGUUGGUCUGUGAGACCAGAGUAAUGAUUAAGAGGGACAGUCGGGGGCAUUCGUAUUUCAUUGUCAGAGGUGAAAUUCUUGGAUUUAUUAAAGACUAACUUAUGCGAAAGCAUUUGCCAAGGAUGUUUUCAUUAA